UACGGAGGGUGCAAGCGUUAUCCGGAUUCACUGGGUUUAAAGGGAGCGUAGGUGGGCUGGUAAGUCAGUGGUGAAAUCUCCGGGCUUAACCCGGAAACUGCCGUUGAUACUAUCAGUCUUGAAUGUUGUGGAGGUAAGCGGAAUAUGUCAUGUAGCGGUGAAAUGCUUAGAUAUGACAUAGAACACCGAUAGCGAAGGCAGCUUGCUACACAAUGAUUGACACUGAGGCUCGAAAGCGUGGGGAGCAAACAGG
rnacentral:rRNA from 1 species